GCCUGAUAUCUCCCACGCCAACGUAUGCAAAUUCACGUGAUGGAUGGAUGAAUAAGGAGUGUGUCACAUGGGUCGUGUCCCUACCCCCCAACUCGAGGAACACGUCCGAUUUUUGAUCCUUUUCAAUUGGGAGUUGAGAUGUUUUUGCUUUUUGGAUAUGUGGGGGCAACUUGUACUUCAAUUAGCAGCACACAUCCAAGAUAUAUUGCAAUUAUAGUUGAUGCACAUUUUGUUUGGCAAAGCUAUUUAUUCGACCGAAGAGAAAGGAUCUUCCAGUAGAGCGAUUUCAUCCCCUUUCAGUAGAGCGAUUUCAUCUCCAUAUUAAUGUCUGAUUUUCUCGUCAGCGCACAUCCAAGGUACAUUGCAAUUGCAGUUGAUGUCCAUUUUGUUUUGGAAAGAUAUUUAUUCGGUGGAAGAGAGAAAUCUUUCGGCAAAGCGAUUUCAUCUUCAUAUUAAUGUUUGGUUUUCACAUCAGGCAAGCGUCAUUAUCGAUAAGAAGUGGUGUGUGAUUUCUUUUUAGCAGUCCAUAUAUCUGAUGCUAAUUCGAUGGAUUUACGCACUGUAGGCACAACCCCACAGAUCGUGUGGGUAAUUAUUACAAACUAAGAUCUUUAUCAUAUAUAUAACUAGUUAGUUACGA